rnacentral:rRNA from 1 species
CGUAGGUGGCAAGCGUUGUCCGGAUUUAUUGGGUUUAAAGGGUGCGUAGGCGGCCGCCUAAGUCAGUUGUGAAAUACCCCGGCUCAACCGGGGGGGUGCGAUUGAUACUGGGCGGCUCGAGUAACAGCGAGGUUGGCGGAAUUGACGGUGUAGCGGUGAAAUGCAUAGAUAUCGUCAAGAACACCGAUAGCGAAGGCAGCCAACUAGGGGUUAACUGACGCUGAGGCACGAAAGUGCGGGGAUCAAACAGGAUUAGAUACCCUGGUAGUCCACACUGUAAACGAUGAUUACUCGAUGUUGGCGAUAGACAGCCAGCGUCCAAGGGAAACCGAUAAGUAAUCCACCUGGGGAGUACGCCGGCAACGGUG